UUUACACUCUUGACCUCGGAUCAGGUAGGGAUACCCGCUGAACUUAAGCAUAUCAAUAAGCGG
rnacentral:rRNA from 1 species